CUAACUGCCUUCCUAACAGCCUAACUGCCUUCCUUCUGCCUGCCCAGAAGUGUACCAGGCUCACUCGUGCCUUUGCUCACUCGGAUGCCUCCCUAGAUCACGUUUUCACCUCCCUUGUUCAUCUGGCUCUCCCCACCCUCCUACUUUCAGACUUAUCCUUCUAGGUCAGCAAAUCUGGAGAGCUUCUCCUCUUGCUCUAGGGUCAUUAUUACAAUGAAGGGAAGAAAGGAAGACAUGAAGGGGAAAUGGGACUAUUUACCAAGUGUAUCUGCAUAGACUAAAGGAGACAAGAGGAAGUACUGAGCACCUUGAUUCCUGCAGAUAAUUAUUUAAGAACCAUAAGAAUUCUUUCCUAGCUUCUCAUAAGCCUGCUUAUUCAAAGGAUUCAACCAUUUUAAUCACAAAGAACAAAGCAACCUCAACUGAGAGCAGGCUUGAUUUAGGUUAACUGCAGUGAAUCAAACUAUUGGAUUAUAAUUCCAUGAAGUAAGUUUAUUGAAGACAAACAGGCCUUGGGCCACUGCCUCUGUCUCUCCUGCCUUCCCCACUGAAACUCCAGCCCACAUUCACAAACAAAGACAAACCUGUGUCAACUGAAGCACCACAAAACUACUUUUAUGAAAGCAGAAUGGAAGGUGAAUCCUUUAAAUUGACUGAGGCACAUCCUGUACCAAGAAGAGACCUUUGUUACUGCCUUUGAUCCUGAGACCUUC